rfam:Tupaia chinensis contig79703, whole genome shotgun sequence.
AUGCUCACUUCAGCAGUAUAUAUACUAAAAUUGGAAUGAUACAGAGAAGAUUAGCAUCACCCUUGCACAAGGAUGACAUGCAAAUUCAUGAAGUGCUCCAUAUUUAU